CGGAACGUGCCCAGUCGUGGGGGAUAACUGCUCGAAAGAGCAGCUAAUACCGCAUACGACCUGAGGGUGAAAGCGGGGGAUCGCAAGACCUCGCGCGAUUGGAGCGGCCGAUAUCAGAUUAGGUAGUUGGUGAGGCAAAGGCUCACCAAGCCGACGAUCUGUAGCUGGUCUGAGAGGACGACCAGCCACACUGGGACUGAGACACGGCCCAG
rnacentral:rRNA from 1 species